rnacentral:rRNA from 1 species
GUUUCCGUAGGUGAACCUGCGGAGGGAUAUUA